GAACAUGUUCACGAGCUAACAAGCCGAAUAUUACUAAGCUCAAGUUUGGUUUGUUUAUUUAUCGAGCUUCUCUAAACGAACUUGGACGAACUUUUUUCAAGGCGAGCUCCGAAUAGUUCGCGAACGGCUUGGUUUUUCUUACACCCCUAAUUUUAAGCAUGAAUGGAGAGGGUGAAUCCACGUCCAUCUUUCCUGCUCCGUUCUUCCUUUCCACGUUUCUUUCUUCCUUCUUUAAAUUAAAAAUCUCACUUCAUUCAUCUGCCUCAUCCAGUUCAAGAACUUCAGAUUGGUAAAGAUUUCUUCUCUAUAUUCAUUUUCUUCCACGCACUUAUAACAAGUAUUCUCUACAAAUUAUUUCUGCAGAAUCAAUACACCACAGCUCAUCUUUAUCUUCAUAUUUCUGCAGAACCAACACACCACUGCCUGCUCAUCUUCUUGAAGGUCUUAUCUAAUUCUAAACCAUGGCAAAUAUUGUUUGUACCACACACAUGAUUGAAAGAAACAGAACACACAUACACUCACUUAAUCAUCCUUUACCAGAGACAUAUAUGACUAUAUGAGACUCUUUGAAUUAGAACCAUAUAAAGGAAUUGAAACAAUACAUUGCAGAAAAGAAAGAAACCUAUUGAUCUUGUGAAAUCUUCAAUCUUUUUGUGCUUAAUCUUUGUUGUGAGUGUUGGUUUGUGUGGCGUGAGUCCGGUCUGGGAGGGGACUGAAGCCAGGAAAAGGGGCGGCUGUAGUGGCUGCUGCCGAUGGAAGGCCGAAGAGAGGAGUGAGAGGGUGGAAGCUGUUGGCGGACAAUGGUUGCUGAUAGGCUGCUGCUGCCCACUCGGAUGAGAGAGCGAUGGAGAUGGAGGUGGUGGAGAGCAGCGGCGGCCGCCGUUGGGCUGGUGCUGUCCGACCAGAGGAGAGGAGAAGGCGGCGGCGAUUCUCGUCGUUCGCCGUGAGAAGAGAGGGCGGUAGCCGAGGGUUCUCUUGCAGUUGUUGGUGCGUCGGAGAGAGGCGAUGGGCGACGGGCGGCGACCAGCCGCUGCUGUCAGCCGGACGUUUGAGAAGGCGGCGUGGGUGAGAAGAGAGGGAGGAAGAGGAGAAAAUUAGGGAUUUAGGGAGAAGGGAAUUUUGGGGGUUUUGAGGUGGAUGGUCAGGGUUGGAAAGAGAGGUGGUGGCGGGCUGGAGAAGCGGCGACGACGGCCGCUGGAAUUGCUGGAGCAGUCGGAUCGUGCGCAGGGGAGAGAUGAGACAGAGAGAGAGAGUGUCGGGCGUGAAGGAGAGAGAGAUAGAGAGGGAGGGAGAGGGGUGAAACACCGGAGAUGGCGUGGCUGAGGGUAGCGCUCCUCGCCGGUGAAGAAGGGGAGGCGGCGGGUGACCCUCUGCGUGCGUGUAUUGUGUGAGUGUGCUGUAGUGUUGAAGAUGAAGGGGUGAUAGAGAAUUAUGUUUUUGGGCUUUUGGUUUUUGGGCUAUUUUGAUGGGCUGUGAUUUUAAUUGAGUAAUUUUGCCUAAUUUAUUUAUGUGGCCAAUGCUUACAUUGAUUUGUUUAAUUGUUUGAACUUUUAUAAAUCUAGAAAUGGGCUCUGUUAAGCUUAUUUGGACCUAAUUCAAGUAUUUGAUACUGUAACUGAUUAUUUAAUUAUGUAAGUAAGAACGGUUGAGUAUUUUUAAGUCAUGUCUUGAUUCUACAAAGAUAAUUAUUUCAGAAAAAGUUUAUUUACUUGAUUUAUGAAUAGACUAAUCAAUUGCAUCUAAAUUUUUGUUGCAUACAAUUAUUUGAAUUAUAUGAUGUGUGAUUGGAGUAAGCGAUAAUGAAGUUAUAUU
rnacentral:lncRNA from 1 species